rnacentral:rRNA from 1 species
UACGGGGGGGGCAAGCGUUGUUCGGAAUUACUGGGCGUAAAGGGCUCGUAGGCGGCCAACUAAGUCGGAUGUGAAAUCCCCAGGCUCAACCUGGGAACUGCAUCCGAUACUGGAUGGCUUGGAUUCGGGAGAGGAAUGCGGAAUUCCAGGUGUAGCGGUGAAAUGCGUAGAUAUCAAGAGGAACACCUGAGGUGAAGACGGGUUGCUGGGCCGACACUGACGCUGAGUGCGCGAAAGCCAGGGGAGCAAACGGG